rnacentral:SRP_RNA from 1 species
AAGCAGUGAUGAUAGACCGGUCCCGCGCAACGGGGCUGCCGUGAACCGUGUCAGGCGGGGAACCGAGCAGCACUAAGCGGAUGGCCCCGUGUGCCGCGGGGAUACUGUUCUUGAGCCGGCUGUUCAGGUAACGGGUAUGUCCCGCGCUUCAAAGGCCGGUGUGCGG